rfam:Triticum aestivum genome assembly, contig: Triticum_aestivum_CS42_TGACv1_scaffold_404120_5BL
CAAGUACUCCCUCCGUCCGGAAUUACUUGUCAUCAAAAUGGAUGUGUCUAGAACUAAAAUACAUCUAGAUACAUCCAUUUCAAUGACAAGUAUUUUCGAACGGAGGGAGUACAAG